UUGUGUGAAUACAUAGCACAUUCGAGGUAGACGCAGAGAACUGAAACAUCUAAGUACCUGCAGGAAGAGAAAGAAAAUUCGAUUCCCUGAGUAGCGGCGAGCGAAACGGGAAAAGCCCAAACCAGCAAGCUUGCUUGUUGGGGUUGUAGGACUCCAAUAUGGUAGUUCUUUCAGAUAGUCGAAUGACUUGGAAAAGUCAGUCAAAGAGGGUAAAAACCCCGUAGACGAAAUGUGGAAGACACCUAGGAGGAUCCUGAGUACGGCGGAACACGAGAAAUUCCGUCGGAAUCCGGGAGGACCAUCUCCCAAGGCUAAAUACUCCCUAGUGACCGAUAGUGAACCAGUACCGUGAGGGAAAGGUGAAAAGCACCCCGGAAGGGGAGUGAAAUAGAACCUGAAACCGUGUGCCUACAACAAGUCAAAGCCCGUUAAUGGGUGAUGGCGUGCCUUUUGUAGAAUGAACCGGCGAGUUACGAUUGCAUGCGAGGUUAAGUUGAAGAGACGGAGCCGCAGCGAAAGCGAGUCUGAAUAGGGCGUUUGAGUAUGUAGUCGUAGACCCGAAACCAUGUGAUCUACCCAUGUCCAGGUUGAAGGUGCGGUAAAACGCACUGGAGGACCGAACCCACGUACGUUGAAAAGUGCGGGGAUGAGGUGUGGGUAGCGGAGAAAUUCCAAACGAACUUGGAGAUAGCUGGUUCUCUCCGAAAUAGCUUUAGGGCUAGCCUCGGAAUUGAGAAUGAUGGAGGUAGAGCACUGUUUGGACUAGGG
rnacentral:rRNA from 1 species